UGAAGCAUUAGAUGUAAAGAAUCGAGGAAACA
rnacentral:piRNA from 1 species